rnacentral:rRNA from 1 species
GUGACCGGAUGCCGAUCUCGAAAACCUGUCCCAGUUCGGACUGGAGUCUGCAACCCGACUCCACGAAGUUGGAUUCGCUAGUAAUCGCGCAUCAGCCAUGGCGCGGUGAAUACGUUCCCGGGCCUUGUACACACCGCCCGUCAAGCCAUGGGAGCCGGGGGCGCCUGAAGUCCGGGACCGCGAGGACCGGCCUAAGGCGAAACUGGUGACUGGGGCUAAGUCGUAACAAGGUAGC